UAUUCUGAAACAUUGAACUUCCUGUCCGUCAUUUUGACUGUACGCGUUGUUCUUUUUCGUUGUUGGACAUCCCUGCGCUAGCUUGAAAAAUCCUAUUUAACGACGUUUUUCGGUGUUUUCCGACUUCUUCAGCAAAUAAACAACGAAUAUUUAAUUUAAUAAACAUGGACCAAAUGGAAGACCCCGCUGGAUCGGAUAAUAAACGAGCUAUAGAGCGGAAAAGGAGUUGAGGAUGCCAAACGAGGACUUCAGAGAGGACAAGCUUUCAACAUCAGCAUCGUCCAUCACUUUGUCCCUCCCCUCAUACCCUAAACAUCACGUACAGGAGCUGGUUUAGCCAGAGUCCUCACCCCUAAUACUGAGUCUAGCAGUCUCAUCACAAGCAUUACGAUGGGUGGUAAUGAAGGCGGUGGACGGGGAGGAGAGCGAUGGAGCCUCUUUGGGGUGCGGCCCAUUGUGCAGAAAUCCCCCACUGACCCAGGAUCAGAAACCAACACACCUG